rnacentral:rRNA from 1 species
CACCGCGGUUAUACGAGAGGCCCAAGCUGACAGACCCUCGGCGUAAAGCGUGGUUAGAAUAGACACAUACUAAAGUCGAAUAUUUUCAUAACUGUUAUACGUACACGAAAAUUAGAAGCCCCACUACGAAAGUGACUUUAUUUUAUUGAACCCACGAAAGCUAAGACA